UAAAGGGCCGCGGUAUUUUGACCGUGCAAAGGUAGCAUAAUCAUUAGUCUUCUAAUUAAAGGCUGGAAUGAAUGGUUGGACGAGGUAUUAGCUGUCUCACCAGAAAAUCUAUAAUUUAUCUUUUUAGUCAAAAGACUUAAAUGGAAUUGGAGGACGAGAAGACCCUAUAGAGCUUUACAUCUUACUUAUUUAAUUUGUUUGGACAAGGUUUAAUUUUAUAAAGAAGUUGUUUCGUUGGGGUGACGGGAAGAUAAAAAUAACUCUUUUUAAAUUUUAACACUGAUGAGUGAUUUAUUGAUCCAUAAGAAUGAUUAAAAGACUAAGUUACCUUAGGGAUAACAGCGUAAUCUUUUUUGAGAGUUCUAAUCGACAAAAAGGGUUGCGACCUCGAUGUUGGACUAAGGGUUAUUUUUGGGUGUAGUAGCUCAAAGUUUAGGUCUGUUCGACCUUUGAAUCCUUACAU
rnacentral:rRNA from 1 species